rnacentral:rRNA from 1 species
CCUACGGGAGGCAGCAGUGAGGAAUCUUGGUCAAUGGACGGAAGUCUGAACCAGCCAUGUCGCGUGAAGGAGGACGGCCCUAAGGGUUGUAAACUUCUUUUGCAGGGGAAUAAAGUAUUCCACGAGAUGGGAUAUUGCAAGUACGCUGCGAAUAAGGAUCGGCUAACUCCGUGCCAGCAGCCGCGGUAAUACGGAGGAUCCGAGCGUUAUCCGGAUUUAUUGGGUUUAAAGGGUGCGCAGGCGGGAAGUUAGGUCGGCGGUGAAAUUUCGGGGCUCAACCCCGAGAGUGCCGUUGAAACCGGUUUUCUUGAGUGCGGAUGAGGUAGGCGGAAUUUGUGGUGUAGCGGUGAAAUGCGUAGAUAUCACAAGGAACACCGAUUGCGGAGGCAGCUUACUAAACCGUUACUGACGCUCAUGCACGAAGGCGUGGGGAUCAAACAGGAUUAGAUACCCUGGUAGUCCACGCAGUAAACGAUGAUUACUAGCUGUUUGCGAUACA